CAAUAGCGUAUAUUAAAGUUGUUGCAGUUAAAAAGCUCGUAGUUGAAUUUUUGCUUGCCGCCGAUGUCGGAACUUCCGUACGUUCGGCGGCGUGCAUCCUUGGGUGGAACCUGUCUGGCAUUAGGUUGUCGGGCAGAGGAUCCUCAUCGUUUACUGUGAAAAAAUUAGAGUGUUCAAAGCAGGCUUAUGCCGUUGAAUAUAUUAGCAUGGAAUAAUAAGAUAGGACUUUGGUACUAUUUUGUUGGUUUGCGCACCAAAGUAAUGAUUAAUAGGGACAGUUGGGGGUAUUCGUAUUCCGUUGUCAGAGGUGAAAUUCUUGGAUUUACGGAAGACGAACUACUGCGAAAGCAUUUACCAAGGAUGUUUUCAUUAA
rnacentral:rRNA from 1 species